UGCCACAGCCAUAUCACCCUGCAGCCCAAGACCGGUUACUCACUGAAGCUAAGCAGGGCUGAGCCUGGUUAGUACCUGGAUGGGAGACCACUAGGGAACACUAGGUUGCUGUUGGAA
rfam:Danio rerio chromosome 14, GRCz11 reference primary assembly.